GACAGAGGUGCCGAGCGUUAGGCGGAAUCACUGGGCUUAAAGCGUGUGUAGGCGGGUCGUUAAGUGUCUUGUGAAAUCCCACGGCUCAACCGUGGAACGGCUGGGUAUACUGCCUGUCUUGAGCCAACUAGGGGCGAGCGGAACAGACGGUGGAGCGGUGAAAUGCGUAGAUAUCGUCUGGAACGCCAAAGGUGAAAACAGCUCGCUGGGGUUGUGCUGACGCUGAGACACGAAAGCGUGGGGAGCGAACAGG
rnacentral:rRNA from 1 species